GGGGCCUGGCACAGUUGAGGCCUGGUGUGGGCCCAGAAGGAAGGGGGCCCAGGCACAGUUCCAAGCAGGUGGGCUCUCAGUGUCUUGCAAGUGCCACUUAGCAGCAGCAAGUCCAGCCAGGAGGCACAGCACCCUGCAACCUCCAGGGGCCUUUGUGCAGCAGCAGAUGUUGAUGGCCCUAGAAGCACGGUGCGGAGCACAUCCUGGGAUCAAGGUGCCACGGACUGGACAAUGCUGCUGUGGCGGAGUUCCUGUGUGAAGACAAAACUCCCAGUCCCCCAGGAACUGUGGAGGCAGAAGAGCAGUGACAAG